UGGGGUAUAUUGGACAAUGGGCGAAAGCCUGAUCCAGCCAUGCCGCGUGUGUGAAGAAGGUCUUCGGAUUGUAAAGCACUUUAAGUUGGGAGGAAGGGCAGUAAGCGAAUACCUUGCUGUUUUGACGUUACCGACAGAAUAAGCACCGGCUAACUCUGUGCCAGCAGCCGCGGUAAUACAGAGGGUUCAAGCGUUAAUCGGAAUUACUGGGCGUAAAGCGCGCGUAGGUGGUUCGUUAAGUGGAAUGUGAAAGCCCCGGGCUCAACCUGGGAACUGCAUCCAAAACUGGCGAGCUAGAGUAGGGCAGAGGGUGGUGGAAUUUCCUGUGUAGCGGUGAAAUGCGUAGAUAUAGGAAGGAACACCAGUGGCAAAGGCGACCAACUGGGCUCAUACUGACACUGAGGUGCGAAAGCGUGGGGAGCAAACAGG
rnacentral:rRNA from 1 species